rnacentral:snRNA from 1 species
AGCUUUGCACAGUGGCAGUAUUGUAGCCAAUGAGGUUUAUCCAAGGUGCGAUUAUUGCUGGUAGAAAAGAA